rnacentral:tRNA from 1 species
UCCCCCGUAGCUCAACGGCAGAGCGGCUCCCUGUUAAGGAGAAGGUUCCUGGUUCGAAUCCAGGCGGGGGAG